AUACGAUACUGGUCUACUUUUGGAUACUAUAAAACCGGAUGACGAGAAUUGUUUCCUUUACUGUUGCAGAUACCUGGAAUCUGAAGAUGUUCUGCUUGUUGGUGGAAGUCACAGAAAUAUGUUGCGCAUUGUAGAUGUCACUGCAAAAAUGAAAAUUCGGGAUCUUUCGAAAAUAUAUGAAAGUCUUGCUUCAACUACUGAUCAAAAAGUUGCUAUUAUGCUUCCACUGAGUGAAUUGACACGUGAUCAUCACCGUUGUUGAUGAUACUGCUGAAUUUAGUUUGAAUCCUAGCCAAUUCGCCAUAUCAUGUUUUGAGUUUCUCCUAGUGGCAUUGUGAUCAAGUGAAUUUUUGCUGCAAUCUGUUGAAGUUAAAUUACUCACAAGCUAAUGGAAAUGAAAAUUCUCACCUGUGUCGUUGCCGUCGUAGAAGAGGUUGAGUAUUUUGAUGGUCUUCGAA